rnacentral:rRNA from 1 species
GACGAACGCUGGCGGCGUGCCUAAUACAUGCAAGUAGAACGCUGAAGUCUGGUGCUUGCACUAGACGGAUGAGUUGCGAACGGGUGAGUAACGCGUAGGUAACCUGCCUCAUAGCGGGGGAUAACUACGCGAAAGCGUAGCUAAUACCGCAUACGCCCUACGGGGGAAAGGAGGGGAUCCGCAAGGACCUUUCACUAUUGGAGCGGCCGAUAUCGGAUUAGCUAGUUGGUGAGGUAACGGCUCACCAAGGCGACGAUCCGUAGCUGGUUUGAGAGGACGACCAGCCACACUGGGACUGAGACACGGCCCAG